UGAGCUGGGGCUGCGCUGCUAGUGGCGCUAGGGGUUGGAGGGCGGUGGGGCCGGCGUCGGGCCGCCAAUUGGGCGCAGGUCUCUCUGGGCCGGCGAGCGGCGUCCUCUUUCCGCUAGAGUCUCCCCAGCCCCUGAUUCUCCUCUCCUCCCCGACGACGGAGGAGAAACUGAGGCGCGUAGCAGGUUUAUGUAAUUCUUCCCCGGGUGUUUGUGGUCUUUGGAGGUGCUAGAGUGUGUAGAAGACAGAAGGUUAACUGAAGGAGACACCCUGUCUAUGCAGCCAUGGGGAAGUCAUCAUCCAUGCUAGCCUGAGACUUUUCUGUGAUGCAGCUGUUUUGGGGUCACCCAUGCUUCUCAGCCACCUGGGAAUAAUGGCCGUUGCCAGCAUCCACUGAGCAAGCUGGAAGAGGGUCCUUCCCCAGUCAACCCUGGAAAUGUCUUCACCACAGUCUGUGAGGAGCCCAGAGCCAAGGGAGCCCCCAGAUUCUCUGCCCCACAGAAACUGGGGGGGGGUGGUGGUGGUAAAUAUUUGUUAUUCAACACUACUAAAUUCUGUAGUUGUUUGUUCUUUUAAUUGCAAUUGGAAAACUAAUGUGGUGGAUAUGGGUGGAGGAAGGGGAGCUUCUGGAGUAAUCUGAAAUUCAUAUUAAAGAGAGUU